UACGUAGGGAGCGAGCGUUAUCCGGAAUUAUUGGGUGUAAAGGGUGCGUAGGCGGUUUUAUAAGUCAGUGGUGAAAGCCCGGAGCUCAACUCCGGUAAGCCAUUGAAACUGUAGAACUUGAGUAUGGUAGAGGCAAGCGGAAUUUCUAGUGUAGCGGUAAAAUGCGUAGAUAUUAGAAGGAACACCAGUGGCGAAGGCGGCUUGCUGGGCCAAAACUGACGCUGAGGCACGAAAGCGUGGGGAGCAAAUAGG
rnacentral:rRNA from 1 species